CAUAGGCGAUUGAUUGAGCGGCCGCGAUUCGCCCUUGUGCCAGCCGCCGCGGUAAUUCCAGCUCCAUAGCGUAUAUUAAAGUUGUUGCAGUUAAAAAGCUCGUAGUUGAACCUUGGGCCUGGCUAGCCGGUCCGCCUCACCGCGUGUACUGGUCCGGCUGGGCCUUUCCUUCUGGGGAUCCGCAUGCCCUUCACUGGGUGUGUCGGGGAACCAGGACUUUUACUGUGAAAAAAUUAGAGUGUUCAAAGCAGGCCUUCGCUCGAAUACAUUAGCAUGGAAUAAUAGAAUAGGACGUUGCGGUUCUAUUUUGUUGGUUUCUAGGACCGCCGUAAUGAUUAAUAGGGAUAGUCGGGGGCAUCAGUAUUCAAUUGUCAGAGGUGAAAUUCUUGGAUUUAUUGAAGACUAACUACUGCGAAAGCAUUUGCCAAGGAUGUUUUCAUUAAUCAGGAACGAAAGUUAGGGGAUCGAAGACGAUCAGAUACCGUCGUAGUCUUAACCAUAAACUAUGCCGACUAGGGAUCGGGCGAUGUUAUCAUUGUGACUCGCUCGGCACCUUACGAGAAAUCAUAAGUUUUUGGGUUCUGGGGGGAGUAUGGUCGCAAGGCUGAAACUUAAAGAAAUUGACGGAAGGGCACCACCAGCGUGGAGCCUGCGGCUUAAUUUGACUCAACACGGGGAAACUCACCAGUCCAGACACAAUAAAGAUUGACAGAUUGAGAGCUCUUUCUUGAUUUUGUGGGGUGGGUGGUGGCAUGGCCGUUCUUAGUUUGGUGGAGUGAUUUGUCUGCUUAAUUGCGAUACGAACGAGACCUUACCUACUAAAUAGCCCGGCCCGCUUUUGGCGGGUCGCUGGCUUCUUAAAGGGACUAUCGGG
rnacentral:rRNA from 1 species